rnacentral:rRNA from 1 species
AUGCAUGUUGUGUUGCUCGCUGGUUCUUCUGAAGCUCUUCAAAUGACUCCUGACAGUGAUUUUGAUGGGGACCCCAACAGUGCUUACACUUUGGCUGAUGACCCUGCUGCUUAUGAGGUUGGCUCUCUUUUGGCGCCAAUAGUUGAUUUGAAUGAUGGGCUUACUCUUGCUUUGCCUCAGUCCAUGGAUCAGUCCAUGGAUGGUGAACCUGAACUGGGCCUAGCCCAGGUGCUUUAUGAUAUCCCUAGGCCGUCCACCACUCGUCCCCGCCUCUCCAAGUGUAGGGCUCCACUGGUGACCACUGAAGUACGUCGCAACACCAGAUCUACAAGGUUUGAUGGCUUCAGAGUGCCUCAAAUUACUGAUGUGCGUGUCACCUCAUGCAAAGUUAAGUCCAGGGUGAUUCCUUCUGCUGCCGUUGGAUCAUCUGAGCCUGUGGAUCAAUCACCUCCACCAACCCCUCUUCGCGCCAUGCAAGACAUCGGCAUCAACCGCUGUGCUGUCCCCCACCCCCCAGGAGCUUACUGA